rnacentral:rRNA from 1 species
CGGGGUGCAGCAGGCGCGAAAACUUUACAAUGCUGGCAACAGCGAUAAGGGGACCUCGAGUGCCAGGUUACAAAUCUGGCUGUCGUGAUGCCUAAAAAGCAUUGCAUAGCAAGGGCCGGGCAAGACCGGUGCCAGCCGCCGCGGUAACACCGGCGGCUCGAGUGGUAACCGUUAUUAUUGGGUCUAAAGGGUCUGUAGCCGGCCGGAUAAGUCUCUUGGGAAAUCCAGCAGCUCAACUGUUGGGCUUUCAGGAGAUACUGUCUGGCUCGAGGCCGGGAGAGGUGAGAGGUACUUCAGGGGUAGGGGUGAAAUCUUGUAAUCCUUGAAGGACCACCAGUGGCGAAGGCGUCUCACCAGAACGGACCUGACGGCAAGGGACGAAAGCUAGGGGCACGAACCGGAUUAGAUACCCGGGUAGUCCUAGCCGUAAACGAUACUCGCUAGGUGUCGGCCACGGUGCGACCGUUGUCGGUGCCGUAGGGAAGCCGUGAAGCGAGCCACCUGGGAAGUACGGCCGCAAGGCUGAAACUUAAAGGAAUUGGCGGGGGAGCA